AUUUAAUUUGCCGGCAUCCAACAAGCUGAUUAGUUUUCCUCUGAUAUGGCUUAACUUUUUAAUUACAGGAACUGGUUCCUCCUGGUUUGUGCCUGCGGUAAGAAGCUCAGGGACCAUCCUGACAUCAGUGUGACCGUGAUUUUGCCAGGCUCACGCACUGCAAGGCUGUCAUUCUGAAGCCUCUGCUCCUGGAAACAGAAUUCUCUGUUUGAGAUGAAUAAUAGGUUGAAUAUGAUAUGUGGCGGCUCUGUGGACUCGGAAGAUACAAAAUGAACAAAUACAUUGCUCUGGAAGGGUGGUGUAACAGCGCUACUGAGGAUUUAGAAGCAUCUCCUCUAUCUGACAGAUGAGUCUGGCAGGGCAAGAUGCCUCAUCAUACAUCUUAGCGGAACCAGACCUUCUGUAGAGGCAGAUCUGUGGCUGUGGAGACUGGAGAUUGCAACAGAGAUGCUUCUGCGUCCAAGGUAGGUGAACCUUGCUGUUUCAGCCUCCCUCAGGAAAAUGGGACACCUUUGCUUCAUGAUUUUUACUUCAGUCCAAUAGUAUCCCAAUGGGAAGGGAGGAGAUGCUGGCAGUUUUCUGUGCCAUCUCCCAAGAGAACUGUGUGUAGGAAAUGAGAGCUGUUAUUAUUCCUACUAUGGUGAAAUAAUUGUUUCUGAACACUUGCUGUUUCCUCCACUUGCUUUUCAGUCUUAAGCAAUUUCUGAGGUUGACACACCAUCUCCAGUCACAUUUGUCUUGUUGUGUGCCAUGACUGAUGCAAUUACAGCUGACACUCUCACUGCUUUUUGCACAAAUGCCUUCAAUUGCAGGCUAGCAGAUGACCCCUGAAACGAGCAGCAGGAGACACCAUUGCCCUAAACUCCCUCCACAGGAAAGAGUUGCUGGCUCUCAGGGCAAUGUGGGGCCAGUGUCAGGGUUUUAAAUCAAAGGCUUUUCUGCUGGUGGUGUGCAGGGGCAGUGUUAUCACUCCACUCUUGCAGAGCCUGCAUGUGGACUUUCCCUGC